AACGAACGCUGGCGGCAUGCCUAACACAUGCAAGUCGAACGAGACCUUCGGGUUUAGUGGCGCACGGGUGCGUAACGCGUGGGAACCUGCCCUUAGGUUCGGAAUAACUCCCCGAAAGAGGUGCUAAUACCGGAUAAUGUCUUCGGACCAAAGAUUUAUCGCCCUUGGAUGGGCCCGCGUUGGAUUAGCUAGUUGGUAGGGGAAAAGCCUACCAAGGCGACGAUCCAGAGCUGGUCUGAGAGGAUGAUCAGCCACACUUGGACUGCGACACGGCCCAGACUCCUACGGGAGGCAGCAGUGGGGAAUAUUGGACAAUGGGCGAAAGCCUGAUCCAGCAAUGCCGCGUGAGUGAUGAAGGCCGUAGGGUUGUAAAGCUCUUUUACCCGGGAUGAUAAUGACAGUACCGGGAGAAUAAGCUCCGGCUAACUCCGUG
rnacentral:rRNA from 1 species